AUUGAACGCUGGCGGCAGGCCUAACACAUGCAAGUCGAACGAGUGGCGGACGGGUGAGUAAUGUCUGGGAAACUGCCUGAUGGAGGGGGAUAACUACUGGAAACGGUAGCUAAUACCGCAUACCAUCAGAUGUGCCCAGAUGGGAUUAGCUAGUAGGUGGGGUAACGGCUCACCUAGGCGACGAUCCCUAGCUGGUCUGAGAGGAUGACCAGGCACCCUGGAACGGAGACACGGUCCAGACUCCUACGGGAGGCAGGAGUGGGGAAUAUUGCACAAUGGGCGCAAGCUUGAUGUAGCCAUGCCGCGUGUAGGAAGGAGGGCUUGGGGUUGUAAAGGACUUUCAGUGGGGAGGCGUUACUCGCAGAAGAAGGACCGGCUAACUCCGUGCCAGCAGCCGCGGUAAUAC
rnacentral:rRNA from 1 species